AUACGUAGGGAGCGAGCGUUGUCCGGAAUUACUGGGCGUAAAGGGCGCGUAGGCGGCGCUUCAAGUCGUCUGUCAAAUGGGAGGGCUUAACCCUUUUUCGCAGACGAAACUGGAGAGCUUGAGAAGCAGAGAGGCAAACAGAAUUCCUGGUGUAGCGGUGAAAUGCGUAGAUAUCAGGAAGAAUACCAGUGGCGAAGGCGGUUUGCUGGCUGCAUACUGACGCUGAAGCGCGAAAGCCAGGGGAGCAAACGAGAUUAGAUACCCCGGUAGUCCUGGCAGUAAACGAUGUAUGCUGGGUGUGAGACUAGCGAUAGUUUCGUGCCGAAGUUAACGCGAUAAGCAUACCGCCUGGGGAGUACGGUCGCAAGAUUGAAACUCAAAGGAAUUGACGGGG
rnacentral:rRNA from 1 species